CGCAAGCCUGACGGAGCAAGACCGCGUGGGGGAGGAAGGCUCUAGGGUUGUAAACCCCUUUUCUUAGGGAAGAAACCUGACGGUACCUAAGGAAUAAGCCUCGGCUAACUCCGUGCCAGCAGCCGCGGUAAUACGGAGGAGGCAAGCGUUCUCCGGAAUUAUUGGGCGUAAAGAGUCCGUAGGUGGUUCAUCAAGUCUGCUGUUAAAGCGUGCAGCUCAACUGCAUAUAGGCAGUGGAAACUGUUGAACUAGAGUAUGGUAGGGGUAGGGGGAAUUCCCAGUGUAGCGGUGAAAUGCGUAGAGAUUGGGAAGAACACCGGUGGCGAAAGCGCUCUGCUGGGCCGCAACUGACACUCAGGGACGAAAGCUAGGGGAGCG
rnacentral:rRNA from 1 species